AAGGGGCACAGUGCAUUCUGGGAAGGAUGGGAGGUGCAUUCUGGGAAGGAUGGGAGGUGCAUUCUGGGAAGGAUGGAGGUGCAUUUUGGGAAUGAAACACUUCUGGCUGCAGUUUCGAUUGUGACCCCAAGAGUAUAGCGAGCGGAAGUAAAGAGUCCAAAGUGCAAGGAAUGUAGAAUGGCUUCAACGGAAACCAGCCAAAGUCAUCUGCUCCUGCACAUUGUCUGAGGCUUCCCUUCCUCAGAGGACCCUGGAAAGGUGACUCAUUACUUCUUCCUCCUUAGUCCAGGAUUGGCCGGGGUGAACACAGCGACUGGAGCAAGCGACCCUUCACAAUUUGUUCAAGAAUGUGGGAAGUAGAGAGAGAGGAGACAAAUCUGGGGCUGUCCCUGGCCAGGCGCCCCCCACCCCGCUUCACCCAGGAGCCCAGUGAUGUCCACGACCACCUGUCUCUGCUCUGCCGCCUUCUGGUUCCCCCCUCAACCUCCGAGAGACGGGAUUCAGACACCUUGCUCUCCUGGGCCCUUCCUCUGAUUACACCUCAGAUUGUCACUCUUCUUCAGACGCGUCACUAGAAUUACCCAGCAUUCCAGAUCUGGGCUGACCUGGGCCGAGCAGUAAGAGCCACUGGACUCUUCUGUCCGUAGGGUGGGUUUUGAGAAUCUUGUGCAUGCUUGGCAUUACUUCCUAAUGUGAAAGGGUCCAACCAGCCUCUCCACAUCACGGGGGCUUUCCAAAUGAGGCUCAAGUUAAUCUUUUUUACUUUCGUCUUGUGUUUGCCUCCUCCCAUGGGCUAAUGGUUAAGUCCAUCACGAUCACCUUGGGGGUGGAGUUGUACCCCUUCUUUCUGCUUAUCCCUUCCAACUCUUCUCAUGAGCAAAC